CCCGGCGACAAGCGGUGGAGUAUGUGGUUUAAUUCGAUGCAACGCGAAGAACCUUACCUGGUCUUGACAUCCCGGAGACCCUUAGGAAACUAGGGGUGCUUCCAUCUGGAAGAAUCUGGAGACAGGUGCUGCAUGGCUGUCGUCAGCUCGUGUCGUGAGAUGUUGGGUUAAGUCCCGCAACGAGCGCAACCCUUGCCUUUAGUUGCCAGCAGUUCGGCUGGGCACUCUAAAGGGACUGCCGGUGUUAAACCGGAGGAAGGUGGGGAUGACGUCAAGUCCUCAUGGCCUUUAUGACCAGGGCUACACACGUACUACAAUGGCCGAUACAAAGGGCAGCGACACUGCGAGGUGAAGCCAAUCCCGUAAAAUCGGUCUCAGUCCGGAUUGGAGUCUGCAACUCGACUCCAUGAAGUUGGAAUCGCUAGUAAUCGUGGAUCAGCAUGCCACGGUGAAUACGUUCCCGGGCCUU
rnacentral:rRNA from 1 species